GACGAACGCUGGCGGCGUGCUUAACACAUGCAAGUCGAACGGUGAAGGUGGAGCUUGCUCUGCUGGAUCAGUGGCGAACGGGUGAGUAACACGUGAGUAACCUGCCCUUGACUCUGGGAUAAGCGUUGGAAACGACGUCUAAUACCGGAUAUGAGCUGAGACCGCAUGGUCAUCAGUUGGAAAGAAUUUCGGUCAAGGAUGGACUCGCGGCCUAUCAGCUUGUUGGUGAGGUAAUGGCUCACCAAGGCGACGACGGGUAGCCGGCCUGAGAGGGUGACCGGCCACACUGGGACUGAGACACGGCCCAGACUCCUACGGGAGGCAGCAGUGGGGAAUAUUGCACAAUGGGCGCAAGCCUGAUGCUGCAACGCCGCGUGAGGGAUGACGGCCUUCGGGUUGUAAACCUCUUUUAGUAGGGAAGAAGCGAAAGUGACGGUACCUGCAGAAAAAGCACCAGCUAACUACGUGCCAGCAGCCGCGGUAAUACGUAGGGUGCAAGCGUUGUCCGGAAUUAUUGGGCGUAAAGAGCUCGUAGGCGGUUUGUCGCGUCUGCUGUGAAAACUGGAGGCUCAACCUCCAGCCUGCAGUGGGUACGGGCAGACUAGAGUGCGGUAGGGGAGAUUGGAAUUCCUGGUGUAGCGGUGGAAUGCGCAGAUAUCAGGAGGAACACCGAUGGCGAAGGCAGAUCUCUGGGCCGUAACUGACGCUGAGGAGCGAAAGCGUGGGGAGCGAACAGGAUUAGAUACCCUGGUAGUCCACGCCGUAAACGUUGGGAACUAGAUGUGGGGACCAUUCCACGGUCUCCGUGUCGCAGCUAACGCAUUAAGUUCCCCGCCUGGGGAGUACGGCCGCAAGGCUAAAACUCAAAGGAAUUGACGGGGGCCCGCACAAGCGGCGGAGCAUGCGGAUUAAUUCGAUGCAACGCGAAGAACCUUACCAAGGCUUGACAUAUACGAGAACGGGCCAGAAAUGGUCAACUCUUUGGACACUCGUAAACAGGUGGUGCAUGGUUGUCGUCAGCUCGUGUCGUGAGAUGUUGGGUUAAGUCCCGCAACGAGCGCAACCCUCGUUCUAUGUUGCCAGCACGUUAUGGUGGGAACUCAUAGGAGACUGCCGGGGUCAACUCGGAGGAAGGUGGGGAUGACGUCAAAUCAUCAUGCCCCUUAUGUCUUGGGCUUCACGCAUGCUACAAUGGCCGGUACAAAGGGCUGCAAUACCGUAAGGUGGAGCGAAUCCCAAAAAGCCGGUCUCAGUUCGGAUUGAGGUCUGCAACUCGACCUCAUGAAGUCGGAGUCGCUAGUAAUCGUGAAUCAGCAACGUCACGGUGAAUACGUUCCCGGGCCU
rnacentral:rRNA from 1 species